rnacentral:rRNA from 1 species
CAAGGGUCGUAAUUAUUAGUACCAAACCAAUUCCGCAAGGAAUGUGAUGAAUCAUAGUAAUCGAACGAAUCGCAGGUAUAUGCGAUAAGUCAUUCAAGUUUCUGCCCUAUCAGCUUUGGAUGGUAGUGUAUUGGACUACCAUGGCAGUCAUGGGUAACGGAGAAUUAGGGUUCGAUUCCGGAGAGGGAGCCUGAGAAACGGCUACCACAUCUACGGAAGGCAGCAGGCGCGAAAAUUGCCCAAUCCUGACACGGGGAGGCAGUGACAAGAAAUAACAACUCUAGGUUUUCUUAGAAGUGUAAUGAGGAUAAUUUACAAACCUUACCAAAUGCAAUUGGAGGGCAAGUCUGGUGCCAGCAGCCGCGGUAAUUCCAGCUCCAAUAGCGUAUAUUAAAGUUGUUGCAGUUAAAAAGCUCGUAGUUGAAAUUCUGAUUGUUCGGGUUUUUAGCCUUUAGGCAGAAAUACCGACAGUCAUCCGCUUGCAAACAUAGCUUGAUCUUAACCGAUUAACUAUGUGAGUAAGCACUUUACCUUGAGAAAAACAGAGUGUUCCAGGCAGGUUUGUCCGGAAUGCAUUAGCAUGGAAUAAUAGAACAUGACUGAAGUCAAUUUAUUGGUUAAAGACUUUAGUAAUGAUUAAUAGGAACAGUCGGGGGCAUUCGUACUCAGCAGUCAGAGGUGAAAUUCUAAGAUUUGCUGAAGACGAACUAAUGCGAAAGCAUUUGCCAAGGAUGUUUUCAUUAAUCAAGAACGAAAGUUAGGGGAUCAAAGACGAUCAGAUACCGUCCUAGUCUUAACUAUAAACGAUACCGACUCGGAUUCAGAUGAAUCAAAAUGUUCAUUUGGGACCGUAGGAGAAAUCAAAGUCUUUGGGUUCUGGGGGGAGUAUGGUCGCAAGGCUGAAACUUAAAGGAAUUGACGGUUUUGCACCACCAUGGAGUGGAGUUUGCGGCUUAAUUUGACCCAACACUGGGAAACUCAUCAGGGCAAGAAGAUUUUAGGAUUGACAGAUUGAGAGUUCUUUCUUGAUUGGUCUAGUGGUGGUGCAUGGCCGUUCUUAGUUGGUGGAGUGAUUUGUCUGGUUAAUUCCGUUAACGAACGAGACCUUAACCUGCUAACUAGUGUUCUUAUUUCAAAUUUGAAUCACUUCUUAGAGGGACUAUGUGAUGUAAUCACAUGGAAGUUUGAGGCAAUAACAGGUCUGUGAUGCCCUUAGAUGUCCUGAGCUGCACGCGUACUACAAUGGCACUUUCAACGAGUUUUUCCUGAUCCGAAAGGAUUUGGGUAAUCUUUUUAGUGAGUGCCGUGAUUGGGAUAGAUCUUUGUAAUUAUGGAUCUUGAACU